rnacentral:misc_RNA from 1 species
AAGUCGUAACAAGGUAACCGUAGGUGAACCUGCGGUUGGAUCAUUACUGUAGAGGAUUAGCCUUUGCUUCGGCGAACGGCUAUGAAUCAAACCCCUUGUGAACUUGAACCGUAUUUUGGCGGCCCUCCAAACCCGCUUGGAACCUUUUUGGUUUUAAGCGAUGGGCUGUUAACUUUUUGAACCUAUUAUUUUAUUUCUCGAAUUUUUUGUCUCCAAUGAGUUUCAAUUUUUGAAUCUUGUUUUUUUAAAUGAAUAAACAACUUUUGAGAACGGAUCUCUUGGCUCUC